AGCUCCAAUAGCGUAUAUUAAUGUUGUUGCAGUUAAAAAGCUCGUAGUCGGAUCUCGGGGCGGGCUGAUGGUUCCGCCGAUUGGUGUGAGACUGUCGGCCUUCCCUUCCUUCCGAGGGCCUUACCCUCCUUAACCGGGGGGUUUUGGUGUUCGGGACCUUUACUUUGAAAAAAUUAGAGUGUUUAAAGCAGGCGUUUGCAUUGAAUACAUUAGCAUGGAAUAAUCGAAUAGGACUUUGGUUCUAUUUUGUUGGUUUCUAGGACCGAGGUAAUGAUCAACAGGGACAGUUUGGGGCGUUCGUAUUCCGUUGUCAGAGGUGAAAUUCUUGGAUUUACGGAAGACGAACUUCUGCGAAAGCAUUCGUCAGGGAUGUUUUCA
rnacentral:rRNA from 1 species